UACGUAGGGUGCAAGCGUUAAUCGGAAUUACUGGGCGUAAAGCGUGCGCAGGCGGUUAUGCAAGACAGAUGUGAAAUCCCCGGGCUCAACCUGGGAACUGCAUUUGUGACUGCAUGGCUAGAGUGCGGCAGAGGGGGAUGGAAUUCCGCGUGUAGCAGUGAAAUGCGUAGAUAUGCGGAGGAAUACCGAUGGCGAAGGCAGCCUCCUGGGCCAACACUGACGCUCAUGCACGAAAGCGUGGGGAGCAAACAGG
rnacentral:rRNA from 1 species